rnacentral:lncRNA from 1 species
UGGCUCCUAAUGUCCAUAUUUGUAACAGGGCUCUGAGGCAGCAGUUAAUGGUUUGGUGGGGGAAUCUUUUUUUUUUUUUUUUUCCCCUGGUGCUAAUAACUAAAAAUAAUGGCAUUCCUCAGUGUUCCUUUGCAUUCUUAAUGAUUUGAGAGGGUAAUGAUUAAAGAUGCUCACUCAUCAGUGUAGAAUGACUGAGGAGGUGGUGGCUUGAAAAGGUAAUCACAGCCCCGUUUAAAUCAACCUAAAUGAGACAGGCUGGCUGGAGGCUCCAUUCGUGUUCUUAUGGCCUUUCAGCUCUGUGCGGACUCCCCGCCCUAAGUAGAGCGGUCCCAGACGAAGCAGCCCCGUCCUGGGGUGCCAGCAGCGACCCGGGGCACCAUCUGUGGCCCGGAGCCUGAACCCCUACACAUCCUCCCUGGCGUCCGAGUCAUAAACGUCUCGGUGCCAUUGUCUGGGAUCUCAUUGUGGACAUUGUUUCUCAGGGUCCACCCGCCACUGGCCAAUAAGUUGGACAUGCUCCCCCUCUGAGGAGCAGUCUGACAUUCCAGCCAUUUGCAGUCAGCUGUCCGAUAGGACGAAGAGGCCAGUGAGCUGCUGCAGUCAGUGGCAAAACUAAAUAAAGCAAUAAGGAGGAGGGCAGGGCAGUGUCUGUGCCCACUUCGAGGGCUGAUGGCCCCGAGCCCAUGGGGCAGAAGACCUUGUGGAUACGCUUCCUACGGCUGGAAUGCCCCCCAUCAGCCUUUCAGCAGGAGACCCCCUCCCCCUCUUCAUUACUGGCCUGCAACACUUUCCCAUGAAGUGCAGUAACAACCAAUAACCCAGUUGUUACUUGAAAAGGGACACAUCCCAGUGAAGGAGGAAUGAACACUAACACGUGUGCGCAGCGAGCGAGCCACCCAUCUUCCUCUCGUACACGCGGAAGGCUUCGCAAGAAGAAGGGAACCCAGGCCAACUCCCCCACUGUCCAAACAUUCAACUUGAAAAUGUUGCCUUCAACAGCUGUAGAGAUCCUUCGAGGAGUUCUCCAGAACCUCGCCCUUGUCUCAAACCUGACGGUUACGGGAGGAAAAAGAGCAACGGAUUCAAAUGGCCCUGCAACUGCCUGAACGGAGCAGCAUGGCUGAGAUUCGAAGCGGUUGUAGACGUUGUGUGGAGCCUGCAUGGAGUCCCCCUGUCCAUCCCAUCCAGGGUGUACCACGUUUUACCACGUGCCCUGUGCCUCCAGGACAGGCUCCAGAUAGCUG